UCCCUGGAGGACUAGUGGUUAGACUACGGCCCUCUCACCGCCAUGGCUCGGGUUCGAGUCCCGGCCAGGGAA